CGUAGGUGCGAGCGUUGUCCGGAUUUAUUGGGCGUAAAGAGCUCGUAGGUGGUUUGUUGCGUCGGAAGUGAAACCCAGGGCUUAACUUUGGGCUUGCUUUCGAUACGGGCAGACUUGAGGAAGGUAGGGGAGAACGGAAUUCCUGGUGGAGCGGUGGAAUGCGCAGAUAUCAGGAGGAACACCAGUGGCGAAGGCGGUUCUCUGGACCUUUCCUGACGCUGAGGAGCGAAAGCGUGGGAGCGAACAGGCUU
rnacentral:rRNA from 1 species